GUGUCAGCAGCCGCGGUAAUACGUAUGUCACAAGCGUUAUCCGGAUUUAUUGGGCGUAAAGGGCUCGUAGGCGGCCUGUCGCGUCGGAAGUGAAAGCCCACUGCUUAACGGUGGGUCUGCUUCCGGUACGGGCAGGCUGGAGUAUGGCAGGGGAGACUGGAAUUCCUGGUGUAGCGGUGGAAUGCGCAGAUAUCAGGAGGAACACCGGUGGCGAAGGCGGGUCUCUGGGCCAUUACUGACGCUGAGGAGCGAAAGCGUGGGGAGCGAACAGGAUUAGAUACCCCCGUAGUCC
rnacentral:rRNA from 1 species